GGUGAACGCUGGCGGCGUGCCUAAUACAUGCAAGUCGAGCGAACGGACGAUAAGCGUGCUCUUUUGAGGUUAGCGGCGGACGGGUGAGUAAGGCGUGGAUAACCUACUUAUAAGACUGGGAGAACUUCGGGAAACAGGAGCUAAUACCAGAGAAUAUGUUGAACGGCAGGGUUCAAGAGUGCAAGGCGGUUUUGCUGUCACAUAGAGAUGGAUCCGGGCUGCAUUAGCGAGUUGGUAAGGUAACGGCUUACCAAGGCAACGAUGCAUAGCCGACCUGAGAGGGUGAUCGGCCACACUGGAACUGAGACACGGUCCAGACUCCUACGGGAGGCAGCAGUAGGGAAUCUUCCGCAAUGGGCGAAAGCCUGACGGAGCAACGCCGCGUGAGUGAUGAAGGUCUUCGGAUCGUAAAACUCUGUUAUUAGGGAAGAACAUAUGUGUAAGUAACUGUGCACAUCUUGACGGUACCUAAUCAGAAAGCCACGGCUAACUACGUG
rnacentral:rRNA from 1 species